rnacentral:ncRNA from 1 species
GGGUACCGCUCCCAAUCUCAUGAUCGCGCUCGGUACAAGCGCGGAACUUGAGAA